GACGAACGCUGGCGGCGUGCCUAAUACAUGCAAGUAGAACGCUGAAGGAGGAGCUUGCUUCUCUGGAUGAGUUGCGAACGGGUGAGUAACGCGUAGGUAACCUGCCUGGUAGCGGGGGAUAACUAUUGGAAACGAUAGCUAAUACCGCAUAAGAGUAGAUGUUGCAUGACAUUUGCUUAAAAGGUGCAAUUGCAUCACUACCAGUUGGACCUGCGUUGUAUUAGCUAGUUGGUGGGGUAACGGCUCACCAAGGCGACGAUACAUAGCCGACCUGAGAGGGUGGACUGCCACACUUGGAAUGAGACACGGCCCAGACUCCUACGGGAGGCAACAGUAGGGGAUCUUCGGCAAUGGACGGAAGUCUGACCGGGCAACGCCGCGUGAGUGGAGAAGGUUUUCGGAUCGUAAAGCUCUGUUGUAAGAGAAGAACGAGUGUGAGAGUGGAAAGUUCACGCUGUGACGGUAUCUUACCAGAAAGGGACGGCUAACUACGUG
rnacentral:rRNA from 1 species